UAGGGAAUAUUGGGCAAUGGACGCAAGUCUGACCCAGCCAUGCCGCGUGCAGGAAUGACGGCCCUAUGGGUUGUAAACUGCUUUUCUGCGGGAAGAACCCCCCGAUCGUGAUCGGGGCUGACGGUACCGCAGGAAUAAGCAUCGGCUAACUCCGUGCCAGCAGCCGCGGUAAUACGGAGGAUGCAAGCGUUAUCCGGAUUUAUUGGGUUUAAAGGGUGCGCAGGCGGAACAUUAAGUCAGUGGUGAAAGCCCCUCGCUCAACGAGGGAACUGCCAUUGAUACUGUUGUUCUUGAGUUCAGUUGAAGUGGGCGGAAUGUGUCGUGUAGCGGUGAAAUGCAUAGAUAUGACACAGAACUCCGAUCGCGAAGGCAGCUCACUAAGCUGAUACUGACGCUCAUGCACGAAAGCGUGGGGAUCAAACAGG
rnacentral:rRNA from 1 species